AGGCAGCAGUGGGGAAGUAUUGCACAAUGGGGGAAACCCUGAUGCAGCCAUGCCGCGUGUGUGAAGAAGGCCUUCGGGUUGUAAAGCACUUUCAGUAGGGAGGAAGGUAGUGUAGUUAACACCUGCACUAUUUGACGUUACCUACAGAAGAAGCACCGGCUAACUCCGUGCCAGCAGCCGCGGUAAUACGGAGGGUGCGAGCGUUAAUCGGAAUUACUGGGCGUAAAGCGCAUGCAGGCGGCCUGUUAAGUCAGAUGUGAAAGCCCGGGGCUUAACCUCGGAAUUGCAUUUGAAACUGGCAGGCUAGAGUCUUGUAGAGGGGGGUAGGAAUUUCAGGUGUAGCGGUGAAAUGCGUAGAGAUCUGAAGGAAUACCAGUGGCGAAGGCGGCCCCCUGGACAAAGACUGACGCUCAGAUGCGAAAGCGUGGGGAGCAAACAGGAUUAGAUACCCUGGUAG
rnacentral:rRNA from 1 species